AGAGUUUGAUCCUGGCUCAGGACGAACGCUGGCGGCGUGCCUAAUACAUGCAAGUCGAACGCUUCUUUUUCCACCGGAGCUUGCUCCACCGGAAAAAGAAGAGUGGCGAACGGGUGAGUAACACGUGGGUAACCUGCCCAUCAGAAGGGGAUAACACUUGGAAACAGGUGCUAAUACCGUAUAACAAUCGAAACCGCAUGGUUUUGAUUUGAAAGGCGCUUUCGGGUGUCGCUGAUGGAUGGACCCGCGGUGCAUUAGCUAGUUGGUGAGGUAACGGCUCACCAAGGCCACGAUGCAUAGCCGACCUGAGAGGGUGAUCGGCCACAUUGGGACUGAGACACGGCCCAAACUCCUACGGGAGGCAGCAGUAGGGAAUCUUCGGCAAUGGACGAAAGUCUGACCGAGCAACGCCGCGUGAGUGAAGAAGGUUUUCGGAUCGUAAAACUCUGUUGUUAGAGAAGAACAAGGAUGAGAGUAACUGUUCAUCCCUUGACGGUAUCUAACCAGAAAGCCACGGCUAACUACGUGCCAGCAGCCGCGGUAAUACGUAGGUGGCAAGCGUUGUCCGGAUUUAUUGGGCGUAAAGCGAGCGCAGGCGGUUUCUUAAGUCUGAUGUGAAAGCCCCCGGCUCAACCGGGGAGGGUCAUUGGAAACUGGGAGACUUGAGUGCAGAAGAGGAGAGUGGAAUUCCAUGUGUAGCGGUGAAAUGCGUAGAUAUAUGGAGGAACACCAGUGGCGAAGGCGGCUCUCUGGUCUGUAACUGACGCUGAGGCUCGAAAGCGUGGGGAGCAAACAGGAUUAGAUACCCUGGUAGUCCACGCCGUAAACGAUGAGUGCUAAGU
rnacentral:rRNA from 1 species